rnacentral:lncRNA from 1 species
CGCGGGGCCGGGGUCCCUGCUGCCCAGACUCUGCUGAGUCCUGUGUUUUCCCGAAGGCCCUCCGCCUGGUCACCUCUGUCGGCUCACCCGGGACCCUAGAUGCUCCAGGUGACUCGGGUGCCUGGGUAGAGUCGCACUCUCCAGUCCCGGGCCUCGCCUACCCCAGCUUUCUGCAUUUCUCCCCAACGUGGGCCAUCCCCUAACUUUUUUGCGCCUGAAAAACAGGGACACUGCCAGCACCGAACUACAUUUUCUUUGUUUAAUUGGGUCUGGGGUCUCGGGAAGAAAAAUGCUCUGCGUUCUUCUUUCUAAAUGAUUUUUUGAAGAAACCUUAUUUCAGUUGUUAAAGCCCGAAUGUCCAUUCUCUGACACUCCGCCUCGGCUGCGUGAGGCCACACACUCGCUUUGCUGCCGCCUCCCGCUGCCGCUCUCCUGCCUGGGGCCAUCCUUUCGUGGUGACCCGGCGCAGACACUGCCUGCUCUAGAGGCGAGUUCGGGGCUAGUGGAACCUGUUCUCCUGGGCUCGGCUCAAAUACGCUCCCCAAGAGCCGACCGAGGGCUCUGGGGGCCACCGACAAGUGCAUCCCCAGGGAACCCGAGGGACAGGGAUGAGCAAGAGUGUGGCAGAGACAAAAGUGGGCUGUGAUUCCACGUAAGGAGCUGAUUCAGGAGUAAUCUGCCUCUCAGAGGUGAAAGGAGGCUCCUCUGGACUUGGCCCUUUGCCUAAAACCCUAAACCUCGCGAGGGACUGCGGGUGGGGACCUUGGCUGAGUGUCCGCGGGGAAAGCCAAGUUCCCUUUCACAAGGAAAGUAAGUUACAGCACCUAGCUUAACUUUCUAGGGCAGUUCCCUGGGUGCUGCUCAACUGAGUUUCAACCCAUAAACCCUAAGUUCCGAGCCAGAGGAAGAUAAUAGCAACGAAAGCUUCUAGAUCGGGCCGCCUGACUUGUGGGCUUCCUCGGACCUGUGCGGCUUGUGAAUGCGCUGCGCGGUGCACACUUGAAAAAAACUAGAAACAAACAAAAAAACACCGCCUCUUCCUUAUAGAGGAACUAAAAUGAAUGACAAGCGGGGCAGCUUGGGGCUCCACUAAUGGGUACCUGGGAUCCCUUAGUCGAAGGGCUUUUUACCGAGUUUAAAAAGUACUGUAACACCGCGUAGAAAAUGAGGAAUUCCUUUCCACCGAGAGCGCUCAUUUCAACGACAAUAUAGAAUUUCCUUUCCUUUGUAUCUCCAAGAGAGAAAGGAAACAUUACCAAGCUCAAUCCCAGUGCUACCCAGAAUAAUACAAAAAUUUACUAAUAUAAAUGAAAAAAAUGAGACGCAGUGAUGUAUUGGGAGGAUGCUAUAUGAAAUUCUUCUGAAUUUGUUGCAGGGGGGAUAUUUGAACAUGUCCAAACAGGAAUGAAAUGUAAGUUUCCACAGUGAAUUAAGAAGUAGUUGAUUAUCUGGAAGACGACGAUUUCACUGGAGAACAAUAACAGUUCAUUGACAUUUUCUUUCCACGACUUUAGGUGGUCUCAGAAAACAUCUAAAUGUUUUUGUAUUUUUGCUUUUUCGAAACCUUUUCCAAGAUAAAAUGA